AAGAAAUAGACUAAAUUGCUUCAAUGUAAUAAAGAAUACAAAUUAAAGUAAAAAACUUUUCAUUUAAACAGUUGUUCUUAAAUUAACGGCGUACCAAAAGAAUUAUGCAGUGAUGUCAAUCGCAAAGACUAUUAAGGCGAGUACCGGUGUGUUUACUGUGUUUAAAUGUCUGAAAUCGAAGAUCUAGUCUUAAAAUAUAGACUAAAAGUUUAUUAAAUGGCGAACAUAAUUUAGACUUUAGUUUUUUUAUACGUGAAAAAUAAAGAAGAACACAGUCUUAGCCUAAGUAAACAGUAAGAAUUGACUAAUUACUGCAAAACAAGGGCAAUGUAUCUUGAA